AGUGAACGCUGGCGGUAGGCCUAACACAUGCAAGUCGAACGGCAGCACAGUAAGAGCUUGCUCUUACGGGUGGCGAGUGGCGGACGGGUGAGGAAUACAUCGGAAUCUACUUUUUCGUGGGGGAUAACGUAGGGAAACUUACGCCAAUACCGCAUACGACCUACGGGUGAAAGCAGGGGAUCUUCGGACCUUGCGCGAUUGAAUGAGCCGAUGUCGGAUUAGCUAGUUGGCGGGGUAAAGGCCCACCAAGGCGACGAUCCGUAGCUGGUCUGAGAGGAUGGUCAGCCACACUGGAACUGAGACACGGUCCAGACUCCUACGGGAGGCAGCAGUGGGGAAUAUUGGACAAUGGGCGCAAGCCUGAUCCAGCCAGACCGCGUGGGUGGAGAAGGCCUUCGGGUUGUAAAGCCCUUUUGUUGGGAAAGAAAAGCAGCAGGUUAAUACCCCGCUGUUCUGACGGUACCCAAAGAAUAAGCACCGGCUAACUUCGUG
rnacentral:rRNA from 1 species